AUACGGAGGAUCCGAGCGUUAUCCGGAUUUAUUGGGUUUAAAGGGAGCGUAGGCGGACGCUUAAGUCAGUUGUGAAAGUUUGCGGCUCAACCGUAAAAUUGCAGUUGAUACUGGGUGUCUUGAGUACAGUAGAGGCAGGCGGAAUUUUGGGGGGUGCGGGGAAAUGCUUAGAUAUCACGAAGAACUCCGAUUGCGAAGGCAGCCUGCUGGACUGUAACUGACGCUGAUGCUCGAAAGUGUGGGUAUCAAACAGGAUUAGAUACCCUGGUAGUCCACACAGUAAACGAUGAAUACUCGCUGUUUGCGAUAUACAGUAAGCGGCCAAGCGAAAGCGUUAAGUAUUCCACCUGGGGAGUACGCCGGCAACGGUGAAACUUAAAGGAAUUGACGGGG
rnacentral:rRNA from 1 species